GGGGUUGUGACGCAGUGGUUAGCGUGUCCGCUUUGCAUGCGGGAAGCCGCGCGUUCGAAUCGCGCCUACUCCA